rnacentral:rRNA from 1 species
ACAUGCCUAAAAAAUAACAUUAAUGCAUGACAUCCCAUUAGAACUGCACAGUUAUGUGUGCUUGGGAUAGAGUAUUACUAGGAUGGGUGACCUUAUAGGAAGUCCUAGUGUUUUACAUGCC